rnacentral:tRNA from 4 species
GCCGGUAUAGCUCAGUUGGUAGAGCAUCUGAUUUGUAAUCAGAGGGUCGGGAGUUCAAGUCUCUCUGCCGGCACCA